rnacentral:rRNA from 1 species
CGGUGUUCAACUGGCGUGUCCGCGGGACGUCCUGCCGGUGGGCUUAGCCCGCAAGGGCGGCCCAACUUCAAAUCCCAUCGCGGUGCUCUUCACUGAGUGUCGAGGUGGGCCGGCACGUUUACUUUGAACAAAUUAGAGUGCUUAAAGCAGGCUAAAACUUCGCCUGAAUACUGUGUGCAUGGAAUAAUGGAAUAGGACCUCGGUUCUAUUUUGUUGGUUUUCGGAACCCCGAGGUAAUGAUUAAUAGGAACGGAUGGGGGCAUUCGUAUUGCGACGUUAGAGGUGAAAUUCUUGGAUCGUCGCAAGACGGACAGAAGCGAAAGCAUUUGCCAAAAACGCUUUCAUUGAUCAAGAACGAAAGUUAGAGGUUCGAAGGCGAUCAGAUACCGCCCUAGUUCUAACCAUAAACGAUGCCAGCUAGCGAUCCGUCGACGUUCCUCCGAUGACUCGACGGGCAGCUUCCGGGAAACCCAAAGCUUUUGGGUUCCGGGGGAAGUAUGGUUGCAAAGCUGAAACUUAAAGGAAUUGACGGAAGGGCACCACCAGGAGUGGAGCCUGCGGCUUAAUUUGACUCAACACGGGAAACCUCACCAGGCCCGGACACCGGAAGGAUUGACAGAUUGAGAGCUCUUUCUUGAUUCGGUGGGUGGUGGUGCAUGGCCGUUCUUAGUUGGUGGAGCGAUUUGUCUGGUUAAUUCCGAUAACGAACGAGACUCUAGCCUGCUAACUAGGCGUAUUUUCGACAUCUCAAAGGUCCGUCGUCCCGGCCCUCGGGUCGUGGGCGUGCGCGAUUUUUACUGUCGGCGUACUAUCAAUUCUUCUUAGAGGGACAGGUGGCUUCUAGCCGCACGAGAUUGAGCAAUAACAGGUCUGUGAUG